CAGCAGUGAGGAAUAUUGGUCAAUGGACGCGAGUCUGAACCAGCCAAGUAGCGUGAAGGAUGACUGCCCUAUGGGUUGUAAACUUCUUUUAUAUGGGAAUAAAGUUUUCCACGUGUGGAAUUUUGUAUGUACCAUAUGAAUAAGGAUCGGCUAACUCCGUGCCAGCAGCCGCGGUAAUACGGAGGAUCCGAGCGUUAUCCGGAUUUAUUGGGUUUAAAGGGAGCGUAGGUGGACAGUUAAGUCAGUUGUGAAAGUUUGCGGCUCAACCGUAAAAUUGCAGUUGAUACUGGCUGUCUUGAGUACAGUAGAGGUGGGCGGAAUUCGUGGUGUAGCGGUGAAAUGCUUAGAUAUCACGAAGAACUCCGAUUGCGAAGGCAGCUCACUGGACUGCAACUGACACUGAUGCUCGAAAGUGUGGGUAUCAAACAGGAUUAGA
rnacentral:rRNA from 1 species